GAUGAAGAACGUAGCGAAAUGCGAUACUUGGUGUGAAUUGCAGAAUCCCGUGAACCAUCGAGUUUUUGAACGCAAGUUGCGCCCGAAGCCUUUUGGCCGAGGGCACGUCUGCCUGGGCGUCACGCAUCGCGUCGCCCCCCACAAUUCUCCGUAAAGGGAACAUGUGUUUUGGGGGCGGAUAUUGGUCUCCCGUGCUCAUGGCGUGGUUGGCCGAAAUAGGAGUCCUUUCGAUGGACGCACGAACUAGUGGUGGUCGUAAAAACCCUCGUCUUUUGUUUCGUGCUGUUGCUCGCAAGGUAAACUCUUUAAAAACCCCAAUGUGUCGUCUCUUGACGACGCUUCGACCGCGACCCCAGGUCAGGCGGGACUACCCGCUGAGUUUAAGCAUAUCAAUAAGCGGAGGA
rnacentral:misc_RNA from 1 species